rnacentral:rRNA from 1 species
AGUGAACGCUGGCGGUAGGCCUAACACAUGCAAGUCGAACGGCAGCACAGUAAGAGCUUGCUCUUACGGGUGGCGAGUGGCGGACGGGUGAGGAAUACAUCGGAAUCUACUUUUUCGUGGGGGCUAACGUAGGGAAACUUACGCUAAUACCGCAUACGACCUACGGGUGAAAGCAGGGGAUCUUCGGACCUUGCGCGAUUGAAUGAGCCGAUGUCGGAUUAGCUAGUUGGCGGGGUAAAGGCCCACCAAGGCGACGAUCCGUAGCUGGUCUGAGAGGAUGAUCAGCCACACUGGAACUGAGACACGGUCCAGACUCCUACGAGAGGCAGCAGUGGGGAAUAUUGGACAAUGGGCGCAAGCCUGAUCCAGCCAUACCGCGUGGGUGAAGAAGGCCUUCGGGUUGUAAAGCCCUUUUGUUGGGAAAGAAAAGCAGCAGGUUAAUACCCCGCUGUUCUGACGGUACCCAAAGAAUAAGCACCGGCUAACUUCGUG